AGCGAACGCUGGCGGCAGGCUUAACACAUGCAAGUCGAGCGCCCGUAGCAAUACGGGAGCGGCAGACGGGUGAGUAACACGUGGGAACGUGCCUUUUGGUUCGGAACAACUGAGGGAAACUUCAGCUAAUACCGGAUAAGCCCUUACGGGGAAAGAUUUAUCGCCAAAAGAUCGGCCCGCGUCUGAUUAGCUAGUUGGUGGGGUAAUGGCCCACCAAGGCUACGAUCAGUAGCUGGUCGAGAGGAUGAUCAGCCACACUGGGACUGAGACACGGCCCAGACUCCUACGGGAGGCAGCAGUGGGAAUCUUGGACAAUGGGCGCAAGCCUGAUCCAGCCAUGCCGCGUGAGUGAUGAAGG
rnacentral:rRNA from 1 species